ensembl:misc_RNA Metazoa_SRP Metazoan signal recognition particle RNA
GCCAGGCAUGGUGGUGCAAGCCUGUAGUCCCAGCUACUUGGGAGGCUGAAGCAGGAGGAUUGCUUAAGCCCAGGAGUUCUGGGCUGUAGUGCACCGUGCCUGCCGGGUGUCUGUACUAAGUUCAACAUCAAUAUGAUGACCUCUGGGACUACCAUGUUGCUUAAUGAGGGGUGAACUGGCACAGGGUAGAAGUGGAGCAGGUCAAAACUCCUGUGCUGAUCAGCAGUGGGAUCUCACCUGUGAACAGCCACUGCACUACAGCCUGGACAGAAUAGUGAGACCCCCGUCUCAU